GAUGAACGCUGGCGGCGUGCCUAAUACAUGCAAGUCGAGCGAACAGACGAGGAGCUUGCUCCUCUGACGUUAGCGGCGGACGGGUGAGUAACACGUGGAUAACCUACCUAUAAGACUGGGAUAACUUCGGGAAACCGGAGCUAAUACCGGAUAAUAUAUUGAACCGCAUGGUUCAAUAGUGAAAGACGGUUUUGCUGUCACUUAUAGAUGGAUCCGCGCCGCAUUAGCUAGUUGGUAAGGUAACGGCUUACCAAGGCAACGAUGCGUAGCCGACCUGAGAGGGUGAUCGGCCACACUGGAACUGAGACACGGUCCAGACUCCUACGGGAGGCAGCAGUAGGGAAUCUUCCGCAAUGGGCGAAAGCCUGACGGAGCAACGCCGCGUGAGUGAUAAAGGUCUUCGGAUCGUAAAACUCUGUUAUUAGGGAAGAACAAAUGUGUAAGUAACUAUGCACGUCUUGACGGUACCUAAUCAGAAAGCCACGGCUAACUACGUG
rnacentral:rRNA from 1 species